rnacentral:tRNA from 1 species
GCCGAAGUGGCGGAAUUGGCAGACGCAGUGGACUCAAAAUCCACCGCCCUCAAAAGCGUGCCGGUUCGAGUCCGGCCUUCGGCA